rnacentral:rRNA from 1 species
UACAGAGGGUGCAAGCGUUGUUCGGAAUUAUUGGGCGUAAAGGGCGCGUAGGCGGUGCGGUAAGUCUGUAGUGAAAUCUCUGGGCCUCAACUCAGAGUCUGCUGCAGAAACUGCCGUGCUUGAGUGUGGGAGAGGUGAGUGGAAUUCCCGGUGUAGCGGUGAAAUGCGCAGAUAUCAGGAAGAACACCCGUGGCUAAGGCGGCUCUCUAGUACGGUACUGACGCUGAGACGCGAAAGCGUGGGGAGCGAACAGG